ACGGCAGGCCUAACACAUGCAAGUCGAGCGGUAGAGAGAAGCUUGCUUCUCUUGGGAGCGGCGGACGGGUGAGUAAUACCUAGGAAUCUGCCUGAUAGUGGGGGAUAACGUUCGGAAACGGACGCUAAUACCGCAUACGUCCUACGGGAGAAAGCAGGGGACCUUCGGGCCUUGCGCUAUCAGAUGAGCCUAGGUCGGAUUAGCUAGUUGGUGAGGUAAUGGCUCACCAAGGCUACGAUCCGUAACUGGUCUGAGAGGAUGAUCAGUCACACUGGAACUGAGACACGGUCCAGACUCCAACGGGAGGCAGCAGUGGGGAAUAUUGGACAAUGGGCGAAAGCCUGAUCCAGCCACGCCGCGUGUGUGAAGAAGGUCUUCGGAUUGUAAAGCACUUUAAGUUGGGAGGAAGGGCAGUUACCUAAUACGUGAUUGUCUUGACGUUACCGACAGAAUAAGCACCGGCUAACUCUGUGCCAGCAGCCGCGGUAAUACAGAGGGUGCAAGCGUUAAUCGGAAUUACUGGGCGUAAAGCGCGCGUAGGUGGUUUGUUAAGUUGAAUGUGAAAUCCCCGGGCUCAACCUGGGAACUGCAUCCAAAACUGGCAAGCUAGAGUAUGGUAGAGGGUAGUGGAAUUUCCUGUGUAGCGGUGAAAUGCGUAGAUAUAGGAAGGAACACCAGUGGCGAAGGCGACUACCUGGACUGAUACUGACACUGAGGUGCGAAA
rnacentral:rRNA from 1 species